rnacentral:tRNA from 1 species
GGGCGAAUAGCUCAAUUGGUAGAGCAGUGGACUCUUAAUCCAUUGGCUCAGGGUUCAAGUCCCUGUUCGCCCA